UACGUAGGGUCCGAGCGUUGUCCGGAAUUAUUGGGCGUAAAGAGCUCGUAGGCGGUUUGUCGCGUCUGCUGUGAAAUCCCGAGGCUCAACCUCGGGCCUGCAGUGGGUACGGGCAGACUGGAGUGCGGUAGGGGAGAAUGGAAUUCCUGGUGUAGCGGUGGAAUGCGCAGAUAUCAGGAGGAACACCGAUGGCGAAGGCAGUUCUCUGGGACGUAACUGACGCUGAGGAGCGAAAGCGUGGGGAGCGAACAGG
rnacentral:rRNA from 1 species